UUUUGCAGUGCUUUCCUGUGAAAUUCCUACCAGGCUACACUUGGAAAUUGAAGUUUGGAUGCUGAUACACAAAUAGAAUGGUAACAGAAUUGAGGAGAUACAUGGAUAUUAUUCACAAGGAUGGAACUGCAUACUUAUAUAAGCGGAAGACACGGAGUGCCCCCUUGAACAGCUAGCUGUGAUUCAUAAGCAGCCUGGCAAACAAGAGAGACAUAGUCAAUUCAUUACAAUUAAAUAUUCUUUGAAGAUAAA